UUGGUUAUGCUAAUAAGAGCGUAUGGUGGAUGCCUUGGCACUAAGAGCCGAUGAAAGACGUGAUAAGCUGCGAAAAGCUUCGGGGAGGAGCAAAUAUCCAUUGAUCCGGAGAUAUCUGAAUGGGGAAACCUACUUGAGAAAACCUCAAGUAUCCACAGCCCAAUCCAUAAGCUGUGGAAGGGAACCCGGUGAACUGAAACAUCUAAGUAGCCGGAGGAAGAGAAAACAACAUGUGAUUCCGUAAGUAGCGGCGAGCGAACGCGGAAGAGCCCAAACCGGAGUGCGUGCACUCCGGGGUUCGGACUGCAGGAUUGACGAGUGAGCCUAGUAGAAUGGUUUUGGGAAAGCCAGCCAGAGAGGGUGAAAGCCCCGUACACGAAAGGCAAGCGAGCAUGGCAGGAUCCAGAGUACCACGAGACACGUGAAACCUUGUGGGAAUGAGCGGGGACCACCCCGUAAGGCUAAAUACUCCUUAGUGACCGAUAGCGCAUAGUACUGUGAAGGAAAGGUGAAAAGGACCCCGGGAGGGGAGUGAAAGAGAACCUGAAACCAUAUGUUUACAAGCUGUGGAACAUCUUUAUAUGAUGAACCGCGUACUUUUUGUAGAACGGUCCGGCGAGUUACGCUGGCUGGCGAGGUUAAGGGCUGAAGGCCUGGAGCCGAAGGGAAACCGAGUCUGAACAGGGCGAAAUAGUCAGUCGGAGUAGACCCGAAACCGGGUGAUCUAUCCAUGUCCAGGUUGAAGUUGCCGUAAAAGGCAAUGGAGGACCGAACCCACAUCCGUUGAAAAGGGUGGGGAUGAGGUGUGGAUAGGGGAGAAAUUCCAAUCGAACCCGGAGAUAGCUGGUUCUCCUCGAAAUAGCUUUAGGGCUAGCCUCAUGCAAGUCUUACGGAGGUAGAGCACUGAAUUCCUAAGGGGGCGUCAAAGCUUACCAAGGGAUAUCAAACUCCGAAUGCCGUGUAGAUGGUGCAUGGGAGUCAGACUAUCCGAGAUAAGUUGGGUAGUCAAAAGGGAAAGAGCCCAGACCUACAGCUAAGGUCCCAAAAUGUGUGUUAAGUGGAAAAGGAUGUGGGAUUUCGAAGACAACUAGGAUGUUGGCUUAGAAGCAGCCAUCCAUUAAAAGAGUGCGUAAUAGCUCACUAGUCGAGAGGUCCUGCGCCGAAAAUGUCCGGGGCUGAAACACACUACCGAAGCUUAGGAAUUGACGAAUGUUAAUUGGUAGAGGAGCAUUCUUAACGGGGCGAAGCUGUACCGGAAGGAGCAGUGGACUGUUAAGAAGAGAGAAUGCCGGAAUGAGUAGCGAGAGGAAGGUGAGAAUCCUUCCGGCCGAAUAUCUAAGGUUUCCAGAGUAAAGCUGAUCUGCUCUGGGUAAGUCGGGGCCUAAGGCGAGGUCGAAAGACGUAGUCGAUGGAUAACAGGUAAAGAUUCCUGUACUAUAUCAUAACAGAACUGUGGGGACGCAGACAGAGAGCAUAAGCCGGGAAUGGAAAGACCGGUACAAGCGAGGUAGGAGUGCAUCAGGCAAAUCCGGUGCACAAUCUGAAGACGUGAUGUGGGGCGUAAAGCCGGAAGUAUGUGAGCUGGCUGCCAAGAAAAGCCGCUAUUGUUUAUGAUAUACCCGUACCGUAAACCGACACAGGUGGAUGAGGAGAGAAUCCUAAGGCCGACGGGAGAAGCAUUGUUAAGGAACUCGGCAAAAUGACUCCGUAACUUCGGGAGAAGGAGUGCCAUGUAAAAGUGGCCGCAGAGAAUUGGCCCAAGCAACUGUUUAGCAAAAACACAGGUCUAUGCAAAACCGAAAGGUGAGGUAUAUGGGCUGACGCCUGCCCGGUGCUGGAAGGUUAAGGGGAGAGGUUAGUCGUAAGGCGAAGCUUUGAACUUAAGCCCCAGUAAACGGCGGCCGUAACUAUAACGGUCCUAAGGUAGCGAAAUUCCUUGUCGGGUAAGUUCCGACCCGCACGAAAGGCGUAAUGAUUUGGGCACUGUCUCAACAAUGCACCCGGUGAAAUUGAAAUACCAGUGAAGAUGCUGGUUACCUGCGCCAGGACGGAAAGACCCCAUGGAGCUUUACUCCAGCUUGAUACUGGGAUUCGAUAUUGCAUGUACAGGAUAGGUGGGAGACUGAGAACUGAUGACGCCAGUUGUCAGGGAGUCACUGUUGGGAUACCACCCUUGUAGUAUUGGAUUUCUAACCAGCAGCCGUGAACCGGCUGGGGGACAAUGUCAGGUGGGGAGUUUGACUGGGGCGGUCGCCUCCGAAAGGGUAUCGGAGGCGCUCAAAGGUUCCCUCAGAAUGGUUGGAAACCAUUCGAAGAGUGCAAAGGCAGAAGGGAGCUUGACUGCGACACCGACGGGUGGAGCAGGUACGAAAGUAGGACUUAGUGAUCCGGUGGUAUAAAGUGGGAUUGCCAUCGCUCAACGGAUAAAAGCUACCCUGGGGAUAACAGGCUUAUCACUCCCAAGAGUUCACAUCGACGGAGUGGUUUGGCACCUCGAUGUCGGCUCAUCGCAUCCUGGGGCUGAAGUAGGUCCCAAGGGUUGGGCUGUUCGCCCAUUAAAGCGGUACGCGAGCUGGGUUCAGAACGUCGUGAGACAGUUCGGUCCCUAUCCGGCGUGGGCGUAGGAUAUUUGAGAGGAGCUGCCCUUAGUACGAGAGGACCGGGGUGGACUGGCCGCUGGUGGAUCUGUUGUAUUACCAAAUGCAUAGCAGAGUAGCCAAGCCGGGACGGGAUAAACGCUGAAGGCAUCUAAGCGUGAAGCCCCCCUCAAGAUGAGAUAUCCCAUAACGUCAAGUUAGUAAGACCCCUUGAAGACGACGAGGUAGAUAGGGCAGAGGUGGAAGUGCGGUAACGCAUGGAGCUGACUGUUACUAAUAGGUCGAGGGCAUAACCAAG
rnacentral:rRNA from 1 species